GAUGAACGCUGGCGGCGUGCCUAAUACAUGCAAGUCGAGCGAACGGACGAGAAGCUUGCUUUUCUGAUGUUAGCGGCGGACGGGUGAGUAACACGUGGAUAACCUACCUAUAAGACUGGGAUAACUUCGGGAAACCGGAGCUAAUACCGGAUAAUAUUUUGAACCGCAUGGUUCAAAAGUGAAAGACGGUCUUGCUGUCACUUAUAGAUGGAUCCGCGCUGCAUUAGCUAGUUGGUAAGGUAACGGCUACCAAGGCAACGAUGCAUAGCCGACCUGGGAGGGUGAUCGGCCACACUGGAACUGAGACACGGUCCAGACUCCUACGGGAGGCAGCAGUAGGGAAUCUUCCGCAAUGGGCGAAAGCCUGACGGGGCAACGCCGCGUGAGUGAUGAAGGUCUUCGGAUCGUAAAACUCUGUUAUUAGGGAAGAACAUAUGUGUAAGUAACUGUGCACAUCUUGACGGUACCUAAUCAGAAAGCCACGGCUAACUACGUG
rnacentral:rRNA from 1 species